UUAUGCUGCUUCUAACCGUCCNUUGUCUUAUGACUGACAAAUAAUGACAUUUGACUCAUAGGGGGCACCCGAUA
rnacentral:rRNA from 1 species